GCUGUGGCUCAGCAGCAGAGAAUCUGCUUGGCACACAGAAGGUCCCAGGUUCAAUCCUCGGCAUCUCCU
rnacentral:tRNA from 1 species